rnacentral:rRNA from 1 species
AAUAGAUACCCCGGUAGUCCACGCCGUAAACGUUGGAUACUAGGUGUGGCGGUCUUACCAACGACUGCCGUGCCGAAGCUAACGCAUUAAGUAUCCCGCCUGGGGAGUACGGCCGCAAGGCUAAAACUCAAAGGAAUUGACGGGUCCCCGCACAAGCGGCGGAGCAUGCGGCUUAAUUCGAUGCAACCCGAAGAACCUUACCUGGGUUUGACAUCACGGGAAAAGCUGUAGAAAUACAGUGUCCAUUAGGGCCCGUGACAGGUGGUGCAUGGCUGUCGUCAGCUCGUGUCGUGAGAUGUUGGGUUAAGUCCCGCAACGAGCGCAACCCUUGUCCUAUGUUGCCAGCGGUUCGGCCAGGGACUCAUAGGAGACUGCCGGGGAUAACUCGGAGGAAGGUGAGGACGACGUCAAGUCAUCAUGCCCCUUAUAUCCAGGGCUGCACGCAUGCUACAAUGGCCGGUACAACGGGCAGCGAUCCCGCGAGGGUGAGCGAAUCCUAAAAAGCCGGUCCUAGUUCGGAUUGAAGUCUGCAACUCGACUU